GCCCGGUUAGUUCAGUUGGUUAGAACGCCACACCUAUUUACGCUACCAAUGUAAACGUGGAAACGCGGGUUAAAUUCCUGCACUGGGCA
rfam:Rhizophagus irregularis DAOM 197198w jcf7180003178734, whole genome shotgun sequence.